AUUUAAUGCUGAUGACCCGGUCCGAAACGAGUACCGGUAAAAUAAUAACGCGGUCGCGGAGCACGAUGACCAAAACCAUAUUGUUGUUCGUUGUCGCUUGUGGAGGAGACCAAAUGCUUUCCAGUAAAUCAUAAUCACUGACGUUAAAAUCCUCGCCAAAAUUAUAUUGCGGUUGUUGUGGCGGACACAUGGUUGAAAAAUAAGGCGUUGUAGGGUUAUGUUGGGAGGAGAAGGAAUCGAAGUUUGGCCGCAUGAUGGGUGUGAAUUGUGUAGUUGGCCAAUUAUAAAUUUGCGGUUGUUGAGAUUCAUAAAUGUAAUUUGGUUGGGAGUGAGAUUGCGGGUUAAAGGUUUGAUUUUGGUAAAAAUAAGGGGCAGGAGUUUGUAGUUGAGAAAAAUGAGGGUUAGAAGUUUGGGGAUGAGGAGGUUGAGAAUGUUGUGAGUGGUGAGGUUGUUGAGAGCCACUUGCCUGAGUAGGGGCAUAUUGAUUUUGACGAGGGUCAGUGAGAAAUUGUUCGUACGAUGCAUAUCUAUGUGGAAGCGAGUGAUACCAUUGCAUGUACUCAUUUGACGGUUUCUCCUCUGUUUGUAAUUGAUCUUCAUCCAACGUAAACAAUUCUCGAUGCAACCAACAGUUUUGUUCAUCAGAGUAUAAUAUUGUAUAUGCUUUUUGGCGCGCUUUUAUUGUUGUCAUCUUAUGGUGUUCAGCCAGGCAUCGAGGUUCUUCAGGUAUCCCUUGUAAAUGGCCAAAUUGUAAUUUGACCCUAUCUGCUUGAUGCAU